rnacentral:rRNA from 1 species
CACGGGGGGUGCAAGCGUUGUUCGGAAUCACUGGGCGUAAAGGGCGUGUAGGCGGUCAGGUAAGUGAGAUGUGAAAUGCCCCGGCUCACCCGGGGACCGGCAUCUCAUACUGCUUGGCUUGAGUACGGGAGAGGAUGUGGGAAUUCCUGGUGUAGCGGUGAAAUGCGUAGAUAUCAGGAGGAACACCGGUGGCGAAGGCGGCUAUCUGGACAGAGUCUGACGCUGAGGCGCGAAAGCUAGGGGAGCAAACAGG